rnacentral:rRNA from 1 species
UACAGAGGGGGCAAGCGUUAUUCGGAAUUAUUGGGCGUAAAGGGCGCGUAGGCGGCUUGGCAAGUGGAUGGUGAAAUCCCUCGGCUUAACCGAGGAACUGCCAUCCAGACUGCUUUGCUUGAGGCCGGGAGAGGUGAGUGGAAUUCCCAGUGUAGCGGUGAAAUGCGUAGAUAUUGGGAGGAACACCAGUGGCGAAGGCGGCUCACUGGCCCGGUACUGACGCUGAGGUGCGAAAGCGUGGGGAGCAAACAGG